rnacentral:tRNA from 1 species
AGCAAUAAUAGCUUAAAGAAGAGCAUUGGUCUUGUAAGUCAAAGGUGAGUUAUUUUAUCUCUUAUUGCUA